CGCACGGGUGAGUAACACGUAUCCAACCUGCCGUCUACUCUUGGACAGCCUUCUGAAAGGAAGAUUAAUACAAGAUGGCAUCAUGAGUCCACAUGUUCACAUGAUUAAAGGUAUUCCGGUAGACGAUGGGGAUGCGUUCCAUUAGAUAGUAGGCGGGGUAACGGCCCACCUAGUCUUCGAUGGAUAGGGGUUCUGAGAGGAAGGUCCCCCACAUUGGAACUGAAACACGGUCCAA
rnacentral:rRNA from 1 species